UGGGGAAUAUUGCACAAUGGGCGAAAGCCUGAUGCAGCAACGCCGCGUGAGUGAUGAAGGCCUUCGGGUUGUAAAGCUCUGUCUUCUGGGACGAUAAUGACGGUACCAGAGGAGGAAGCCACGGCUAACUACGUGCCAGCAGCCGCGGUAAUACGUAGGUGGCAAGCGUUGUCCGGAUUUACUGGGCGUAAAGGAUGCGUAGGCGCAUACUUAAGUCAGAUGUGAAAAUCCCGGGCUUAACUUGGGAACUGCAUUUGAAACUGGGUAUCUAGAGUGCGGGAGAGGACAGUGCAAUUCCUAGUGUAGCGGUGAAAUGCGUAGAGAUUAGGAAGAACACCAGUGGCGAAGGCGACUUUCUGGACCGUAACUGACGCUGAGGCAUGAAAGCGUGGGGAGCAAACA
rnacentral:rRNA from 1 species